GCUGGAUGCAGUGGUAUGUGCCUGUAAUCCCAGUGACUCAGGAGGCUGAGGCAGGAGGAUCGCAAGUUCAAAACCAGCCUUAGCAACUUAGCGAUGUCCUAAGCAACUUAGCGAGACCCUGUCUCUA
rnacentral:sRNA from 1 species